GACGAACGCUGGCGGCGUGCUUAACACAUGCAAGUCGAACGGAAAGGCCUUUUCGGAGGUACUCGAGUGGCGAACGGGUGAGUAACACGUGGGUGAUCUGCCCUGCACUCUGGGAUAAGCCUGGGAAACUGGGUCUAAUACCGGAUAGGACCGCACUUCAGUGUGUGUGGUGGAAAGUUUUUUCGGUGUAGGAUGAGCCCGCGGCCUAUCAGCUUGUUGGUGGGGUAAUGGCCUACCAAGGCGGCGACGGGUAGCCGGACUGGGGGGUUGGUCGGCCACAUUGGGACUGAGGUACGGCCCAGACUCCUACGGGAGGCAGCAGUGGGGAAUAUUGCACAAUGGGCGCAAGCCUGAUGCAGCGACGCCGCGUGGGGGAUGACGGCCUUCGGGUUGUAAACUCCUUUCGCCAGGGACGAAGCGUUUUGUGACGGUACCUGGAGAAGAAGCACCGGCUAACUACGUG
rnacentral:rRNA from 1 species